rnacentral:rRNA from 1 species
CCUACGGGUGGCUGCAGUAGGGAAUAUUGGGCAAUGGAGGCAACUCUGACCCAGCCAUGCCGCGUGCAGGAUGACGGCCCUCUGGGUUGUAAACUGCUUUUAUACGGGAAGAAAAAAUACUACGUGUAGUAUACUGACGGUACCGUAAGAAUAAGGAUCGGCUAACUCCGUGCCAGCAGCCGCGGUAAUACGGAGGAUCCAAGCGUUGUCCGGAUUUAUGGGUUUGUAGGGGUGCUUAUGCGGCAGUUGUGAAAGCCUGCAGCUUAACUGUAGAAUUGCCAUUGAAACUGAAAAUCUUGAAUUUGGUUAAAGUAGGCGGAAUGUAUCAUGUAGCGGUGAAAUGCUUAGAUAUGAUACAGAACACCGAUAGCGAAGGCAGCUUGCUGAACCAAUAUUGACGCUGAGGCACGAAAGCGUGGGGAGCGAACAGGAUUAGAUACCCCUGUAGUC